AAAACAACUCAAAAUACUCCCAAACGCACUCAAAACACCUUCAAACACACCCAAACACACUCAAAACAUUCCCAAACACACUCAAACAUACCUAAACACACCCCAAAAUACCUCAAAAUACCUUAAAAAAACAUCCCAAAUAUAUCUUCAUAAAACACUUGAACACACACAUGGCUACCCAUCACUAAAACUCAACCCACCCAUCUCUUAAACACAAGGAUAUCCCAUUUAAAACACCCAUUCCUACACCUCCAUUCCUACCCAUUCCAGCUCCAGUCAGCUUUUCCCCCAAUCCUGUGCCUUCCAGUCAGUUCUGCCUUAUUCCAGCUCAAUUCCAGUCUCUUUUGCUGUAUUCCUGUUAAAUUCCAGUCAGUUUUGGCCCAUUUCCACCCAUUCCUGUUAGAUUUUCCUGUAUUCCCAAUCCAUUCCAGUCUUGCUUCCCUCUAUUUCCAGUCUGCUUAUCCCCAUUCCAGCGCCAUCUACCCCAAUUCCAGUACCCCCCAAUUUCUCCCCAUCUCAGCCUAUCACUGCUACACCCAACUUUAAAACACUGAUCCAAACACCCGUUUAACUGCCCUCCCCAACCCUCACACACCCCUCAACACACACACACACACACACACACACACACACACAAAGAUACCAAUAAACACACCUAAAAUAUUUUAAAACACACAAAAAACACUAGAUACACAUCUAAACACACCCAAGACAGCUUCAGGCACACUCAAAACACCCCAAAAUUUACCCAAAACACCGCAUAACUUACCCAGACACCCCCAGGACCCCCAAACACCCCACCAUGCCUCUCUCAAUCACCAGUCACCACCACCUCAGCCUCACCAUCAACAUGUACAGCAAGGAAGGCGCAGGGGACUCGGGCCCUGACAGACACCACACUGGGGACUACCUGGCACCCUUAGCUUCUGUAGAUCUGUCUCGUGUCAACACCCCUGGCGGAUCUCCCUCCCCAUGACCCGGCCAUCACCCCGCCCUUGAGGACCCCAAUUGGGAGCCCCCGGAGGACCAAGGGAUGUUGCUGAGGUCACACCUGAUUCCGGAAUCUUGACACCCCUUCAAGAUUCCGAGCCGUUUAACGAAGGGCCGCCCGACAGGUACUGCCUUGUGUUCCUGACCUUAGUUGUGCACGGAGUCUGAACACUGAUGCCUCGGAAUAUGUCAUCACUGCCAAGAACUUGCCAUUGGGAUCUUCCAGAACACAGUGUAUGGGACAGCUGCCCAUCUCCCAUUUAGCUACACGGUGGCGGUGGUGCUGGACUCGACACACUUCAGUCACAAGAUGAAUGCAGUCAGCUACAGCAUGACAUAGACAAGCUAUAGACAGUUGAGAGAGGAAGAAGUCAGUGGCACCCUCACCUCAGACAAGACAAAGCUAACAAUUGAUAAUGAAAGCGGUGCCAGAGAAGCGAUGCCUUCACCCACGCUGUGUUCACCACGAUGGAGGAGUGCCCACACUUCCAGGACCUUACUGUUAAGAGGUUCCUGAAGACCCUACUUGAGCACAACCGCCGAGACAUUCUCUCCAAGCCGGAGAAGUUUGUGCGCCUGAAGCCAGGGAGUGAUGCUGCUAAGACCUUCACUCUGUCUAUCCAGAGGGAUCCGCAGGUGCUGGUGGUGGAAUCUUGCUUGGACAGUGUGGAUGGCAAGCAGUCAGGGUUCCAGUCAAAGGUGGUGGUGAUCCAUGCCCAGGACACCAGGGAGGAUGCACUGCAGCUUGCAUCUCAGCUGAGGAAUCCCAUGGAGGGCAACAGAUUGUAUGUGUUGCUUCUGCAAGAGUCUAAGAAGAACACACAAGUUAAGAGCAGCCUGAGGUGUGAUCCAUGGAACAGCAUCCACAAGUGGUUCAUCAAGGUUGACGCUGUGCUGCCGGUACUGUCGCCUCAGCUUCUGCGUCAGAUUCAGAACAGAGACUUCAGCAGAGAGAGUGAGUGGGAGAAACGCUACAACUGCUUUGCCCACUCGAUGAUGCUAGACCAGCAUGUGGAGUACGGGAGCAAGAAUGGGUUCUGCCGUGCCGUUUGUCCUGCCAGAUUCCCGGAGGAGCGGUGCCUGAGAAGCGAUGCCUUCACCCACGCAGUUUUCACCACGAUGGAGGAGUGCCCACACUUCCAGGACCUUACUGUUAAGAGGUUCCUGAAGACCCUACUUGAGCACAACCGCCGAGACAUUCUCUCCAAGCUGGAGAAGUUUGUGCGCCUGAAGCCAGGGAGUGAUGCUGCUAAGACCUUCACUGUCUAUCCAGAGGGAUCCGCAGGUGCUGGUGGUGGAAUCUUGCUUGGACAGUGUGGAUGGCAAGCAGUCUCAUACUCAUUCGCUGACAGGAGGAACAAAUUAAAUUAGUUUUUAGCAGAUCUGAAGAUAAGGAAAUUCCUUGUGUUGUGAGAUGCCAUGAUUUUGCUUGGCAUAAGAGAAUAAGUUUACAUAUUUUCCAGUAAGAUGUUGAUGAUCCCUGUAGAAGUGACUUGCUUUGUAUUGCUUCCAGGAAGCAUUUAUUACCUAGAGAGAGCCUUCAUUAUUGGUUUGAUUCUUCCCACAGCUUGCAUCUCAGCUGAGGAAUCCCAUGGAGGGCAACAGAUUGUAUGUGUUGCUUCUGCAAGAGUCUAAGAAGAACACACAAGUUAAGAGCAGCCUGAGGUGUGAUCCAUGGAACAGCAUCCACAAGUGGUUCAUCAAGGUUGACGCUGUGCUGCCGGUACUGUCGCCUCAGCUUCUGCGUCAGAUUCAGAACAGAGACUUCAGCAGAGAGAUUCAGAACAGAGACUUCAGCAGAGAGAGUGAGUGGGAGAAACGCUACAACUGCUUUGCCCACUCGAUGAUGCUAGACCAGCAUGUGGAGUACGGGAUCAAGAAUGGGUUCUGCCGUGCCGUUUGUCCUGCCAGAUUCCCGGAGGAGGUUGGUGAUGCCUCCACUUGCAUGUCUUUUCUGUAUUUUGUAUAGACCUGUUUGUAUUUUACAGGAUUAAGUCAAGUUCUGUUUGGAUGUAUGUGACCAGCUGUGCUGUGUCUGACUGUCCUUUUCCACUAGGGACUGAUGGGGCUAAGAGUGUGAAUGAUGUCUGUGUGUGUGUGUGUGUGUGUGUGUGUGUGUGUGUGUGUGUGUGUGUGUGUGUGUGUGUGUGUGUGGGAUUGCCA